GGCCGGGGCGGCCGCGUGACUCGCGGCGGGGUCACGUGACGCGGCCGCCGGGCCUCCAAGAUGGCGGUGUGCGUGGCGGUCAUCGCUAAGGAGAAUUACCCUCUUUACAUCCGCAGCAGCCCCACCGAGAAUGAGCUGAAAUUCCACUACAUGGUACACACGUCCCUAGAUGUGGUGGACGAGAAGAUCUCUGCCAUGGGGAAGGCCUUGGUGGACCAGAGGGAGCUCUACCUGGGCCUGCUGUACCCCACGGAGGACCACAAGGUGUACGGUUACGUGACCAACUCCAAGGUGAAGUUCGUCAUGGUGGUGGAUUCCUCCAACACGGCGCUGCGGGACAACGAGAUCCGCAGUAUGUUCCGGAAGCUGCACAGUUCGUACACGGACGUGAUGUGCAACCCCUUCUACAACCCCGGGGACCGCAUUCAGUCCCGGUGAGCCGAUUGCGGUGCAGCCCCUCCCUUGCGGAGAGCCGCAGUUACCAGCGUGCGGGAGGGAAGGGCCUUCGAUAGCAUGGUGACAUCCAUGAUGGUCCAGGUGUGCUGAGUGACAGCCCUGCCGCUGUCGUGGGGGAGAGGCCCUGGGGACAUGACUGUAUCGUUGUGCGGACAUCCGUGAUCGCUUGCCUGUUUCUGAGCCUCACAGACGUGCUGCUGGGGGCACGGUCUCCGGCGUGCUGCGUGCAGACUAAAUGUCCUCUGGGAUCGGA